rnacentral:rRNA from 1 species
AGAGUUUGAUCAUGGCUCAGGAUGAACGCUGGCGGUAUGCUUAACACAUGCAAGUCGAACGGGACCAUUCGUGGUUCAGUGGCGGACGGGUGAGUAACGCGUGAGAAUCUGGCUUCAGGUCGGGGACAACCACUGGAAACGGUGGCUAAUACCGGAUGUGCCUAGGGGUGAAAGAUUAAUCGCCUGAAGAUGAGCUCGCGUCUGAUUAGCUAGUUGGAGAGGUAAAGGCUCACCAAGGCGACGAUCAGUAGCUGGUCUGAGAGGACGAUCAGCCACACUGGGACUGAGACACGGCCCAGACUCCUACGGGAGGCAGCAGUGGGGAAUUUUCCGCAAUGGGCGAAAGCCUGACGGAGCAAUACCGCGUGAGGGAGGAAGGCUCUUGGGUUGUAAACCUCUUUUCUCAGGGAAGAAGAUCUGACGGUACCUGAGGAAUCAGCAUCGGCUAACUCCGUGCCAGCCGCCGCGGUAAUAC